rnacentral:rRNA from 1 species
ACGCUCGACACCUACGGUAGGCAGCAGUGGGGAAUAUUGCACAAUGGGGGAAACCCUGAUGCAGCGACGCCGCGUGGAGGAAGAAGGUCUUCGGAUUGUAAACUCCUGUUGUUGGGGAAAAAGAGGAUGGUACCCAACAAGGAAGUGACGGCUAACUACGNGCCAGCAGCGCGGUAAUCUGAGCGGGCUGGCAAGGC